GUCAAACGUUGUAUAGCAUAAAUCAUUAGGGCCUUUUUUAACCAGAACAUGAAUAAUAUUCAAGGUGGACGAAUGCAUAGCCUUUUAUAACGUAUUGGAACGAGGGUACCCAACAUGAAGUAGCGCGCCAGGUGUCUAAUGGGACAUCACCGUUCCAUGGCUCUUGUUCGGUCAGAUCUCCCUCCAGAAGACUCAAAACACUUUGUAAAGGCUGGUGACAUCUAGUGGAAGCAAUAGGAAGUGCCAAAAUAUUCCUAAACCCCUGUGUUUUUCAAUGGGAUAGGUUUAAAGUCAAUACAACACAUCAGGUAUCCACUUCCUGUCAGAAAAUGUCUCAGGGUUUUGCCUGCCAAAUGAGUUCUGUUAUACUCACAGACACCAUUCAAACAGUUUUGGAAACUUUAGAGUGUUUUCUAUCCAUAUAUAAUAAGUAUAUGCAUAUUCUAGUUACUGGGUAGGAUUAGUAACCAGAUUAAAUCGGGUACAUUUUUUUUAUCCAGACGUGCAAAUGCUGCCCCCUAGACCCAACAGCGUCGUGUAG
rnacentral:lncRNA from 1 species